UUGGAUAUAAGUCAUUCAUUGAACCUAGAAGUAGGGAUUUCUCUUUACUUAAUUAUUUGAAAUUAGACGUUAAGUAAUACAAUGCACUCUUUACUUGUUCUUCAAGCAUUAGUUUUCUCUUUACUUUCUUGCUUGUGUUUUUCUCUCGUGGAAGCUAUCAAGGGCUUCGUUACGCCAAUUUGUCCUUUGCCAUUGUUAAACAUGUAUGCCAUUUCAAAUUGCACAAUCAUUUUGAAGCUAAGGCCAACUUUGCCUCUAAUUUGCAGUCAGCAGAAAGAUCAUGGGUUCUGAAUUCUGGUAUGACUCAUCAUAUCACACCUGAACCUGACAAUCUUGAAGAGUAUACAGGCAAUGAGGAAAUAUCUAUGGGUGAUAGUAAAACCAUUUCUAUACUCAUACUGGUUCAACUCAGAUACAAGCAUUUAAUUCUUCUUUUAGGCUUUAUAACACCCUAUGUGCUCCACCAAUUAAAAAGAAUCUUAUUUCAAUAGCCAAGUUUUGUCAAGACAGUCUAACAUCUGUUGAAUUUUUUUUCAUUUACUUUUCCUGUGAAGACCUGCAUACUCAGACGUUGUUGGUGCAAGGACAGAAUAACAAAGGACUAUAUGAAUGGCCGCAUCAGCCAAUCGGACCACCAAUAUCCAUCAAUCUUUCCUCCACAAAAGUUACUUUUCAGCUAUGGCAUUGUGACUUGGGUAUCCUCAUUUGACAAUUUUAAAUUUUAUUUUGAAGAAGUUUUAUUUACCUGUUGCUACUAAAGAAAAACUUGAACUUUGUAAUGCUCGUUCCUCUAAUAAAUCACAUUGUUUU